rnacentral:rRNA from 1 species
UACGGAGGGUGCAAACGUUGCUCGGAAUCAUUGGGCGUAAAGCGCACGUAGGCGGUCCAGCAAGUCGGGUGUGAAAGCCCUCGGCUUAACCGAGGAAGUGCAUUCGAAACUACUGGACUUGAAUACUGGAGAGGAUCGCGGAAUUCCCGGUGUAGAGGUGAAAUUCGUAGAUACCGGGAGGAACACCAGUGGCGAAGGCGGCGAUCUGGACAGAUAUUGACGCUGAGGUGCGAAAGCGUGGGGAGCAAACAGG